GGGUUGAUGCCCGAGUGGCUAAAGGGGAUAGACUGUAAAUCUAUUGGCGACUGCCUACGCUGGUUCGAAUCCAGCUCGGCCCA
rnacentral:tRNA from 1 species